CAUGCAUUUGUGCAAACCCAUAGAUGUACAACGCUGACAGCGAACCCUAAUGUAAACUAUGGACUUUGAGUGAUUAUGAUGUGUCAAUGUCGGUUCAUCAGUUGUAACAAAUGUACCACUCUGGUGGGAGAUGCUGAUCAUGGGGGAGGCUCUGCAUGAUGAGGACAGGAGGCA